CGUAGGGUGCAAGCAUUAUCCGGAGUGACUGGGCGUAAAGAGUUGCGUAGGCGGUUAGUUAAGUGAAUAGUGAAACCUGGUGGCUCAACCAUACAGACUAUUAUUCAAACUGGCUAACUCGAGAAUGGUAGAGGUAACUGGAAUUUCUCAAGUAGGGGUAAUAUCCGUAGAUAUGAGAAGGAACACCAAUGGCGUAGGCAGGUUACUGGACCAUUUCUGACGCUAAGGCACGAAAGCGUGGGGAGCGAACCGGAUU
rnacentral:rRNA from 1 species